UCCCUGGUGGUUCAGUAGUUAGCACUCGGCACUUUUGCUGCUGCGGAUCCAGGUUCAAUCCCUGGUUGGGGAA
rnacentral:tRNA from 1 species